UCUCUCUCUCUCUCUCUCUCUCGAUUGUGUUUUCUAGAUCAUGGUAUAUGAGAGCGAAGGGAGGAGAGAACAAGUAUAACUUGAGCUUCUAAAAUACCUUUACUACCUUCAUUUCCUCCCAAGAAAGGAAAGCCUUACUAGGCCUUUGUGGAAAUUAGAAGACCCUUCUACACCUCUUGCUUUCUCUCUCCUUCUCUUUCCCUUCAUCAAGAGAUCAAAAGGAGACCACAAAGAGGGAGAUGAAGGAGAAUUCCUAUUAGAAUUGCUAGUGAUCAUGUCAUGGAUGCUGAAUUACAGAAUAGGAAAGUGAGUUCAGUUAGCCUUCAAUUCAUUACUUAUUAUUAAGUGUAGAAUUAAGUAGAAGGAAGAGAGGAGAGAGAAUAGAAUGCCACUUGAAGGGCUCCUAAUGGAAGCUACCUCCAUGCCGUCUCCUGACCUCUCCUUGCACAUCAGCCCGCCGAGCACCAUCCCCUCCUCCACCUCCACCGCUGCCACCGCUUUCGAGCCCGACCGAUGGCGGCCACGGGCCAACUCCCCAAAGUCCUGCCAUGACGGCUCCGAUGCCUCCACCGAGCUGUCACUCUCCCACCCCUCGGCCGCCUUGGAGGCCGGACCAUCAGCAGCGGCGCCGCCGCAACUGCAUGACCGCAGCCACCACACCCACCGCUUCGUCACCGUCGGAAUCGGGUCGUCGGUCGACUCGAGGCCAAUUAAGGGGAUCCCCAUCUACAACAACACCCCUUUCCCUUUCCUCCCUAUAGACCACUCUAAGAUAGGAUUCUACCACCCUGUGUCCUCCUAUCCUCCACCUUGGUCCUCCUCGUCUUCGUCGCUGCCACCAACCUCCUCAUUCGCCGCAUCCUCCAAUCCGGAUGGUGGCGCAACCCUUGUGCACCCCACCAGCACCGGCGGCGUUCCACCAGUGGGCUCGUCGUACCACCACCAGAUGGUGGCGGCGCCGGCGAGGUUCAAUGGGUUCUCGUCGGAGUCAUUCAAGGCAGCACACCACCACCACCACCACCUCCACCAUCAUCACCAUCAGUAUGGCAUGGGGUCGUUGGACGGCUCACACAGCAUGGUGCGGUCGCGGUUCAUGUCGAAGCUCCCGGCUAAGAGGAGCAUGAGAGCGCCAAGAAUGAGGUGGACUAGUAGCCUCCAUGCCCGCUUCGUCCAUGCCGUUGAGCUCCUCGGCGGCCAUGAGAGGGCUACUCCAAAGUCAGUUCUUGAGCUUAUGGAUGUGAAAGAUCUCACUCUAGCCCAUGUCAAGAGUCAUUUGCAGAUGUAUAGGACUGUCAAGACCACUGACAAGCCUGCAGCUUCCUCAGGUCAAUCGGACGGCUCCGGCGAAGAAGAUCUUGGCCCCGGGACCACCGAUCUAAACUUUCGACGGUUCAUGGAUCAGAGAGUGUCAGAUAGGCCUGUCCAACCACAUGGUAUGGACUAUUCUUCCACCACUGCUACUAAUACUCCUGGCACCCCAAGGUGGAGCAACUCAUCAAGCAGAGGAACAUGGCUGCAAACAAAUUUAAGUGACAUCGAUGGGCUUAGAUCAACAGUUUUCUCAUCUCAGAUCGAGGAUAACAAUCCUUGCCGAUCCAAUGGUUUGCAAGUUUCUCAACAAGAGAUCAAAAACCCUAGCCUGGAGUUCACCUUGGGAAGACCAGACUGGUGUGGUACAGAGCAUGAUUGAUGCUAAUAAGGCCUAAUAUUCCUGAUGGUUUUGGCUCACUUGUUUAAAAAAAUGAAGGACAAGAGAGAAGACCAACAAGCUUAAUCCUUGCCUCACGAUACCCUCAUUGUCACCAAAAACAAGAGGGGGAUAGAAGGAAGCCUAUAUUAAUGAAUUUGAUGGCACUGUGGAGUUUGGUGGCUAAAGCUGAAGUUGGAAGCUUUUAUACACAUGGAAAGUGGGAUAGAAGGAAAAGGAAUAUGUUCUAAUGAAGGAAUCUCAACAAUUUUAUUUUUCCACUUCUGUUUCCUUUUGUUUCAUGUCUCUCAUGUCAGAAGCUCCUUUCAGUCCUCGUCAUUAUUAAAGUGUAAAAGCCUUGACCUGGACCCAUACCAAAGCCCUUACGGACACCAUAAGAAUGGUCUAAGUAGAAGAAAUAUCAUACAGUCUACCCUUACCUAACAGGAAGGCAAUGUGUCAAUAUCAAGAUGAAACAAACAGUACGUGAAUGAUGAGAGGAAUACCAUCCCACCAUCAUAAGCUUUUCCCGACAGACUGUUACUGCCUUCUCCAGUGACAAUGACCCCCAAAUGGGCAUCUAUGGAUCAUGUUUUUCAUACACGAGGACCAAGGAGUGCAAUCACAAUUAAUAAGGUUGGUGUAUUAAUUAUGCCUCUGAGAAACUAAGCUGGAGGAGCUUGAUGGUUGGAUCUCAAGAGAAUGUGAGGCAAGAGGCUUUCUGAUCAGUGGGUCAAUGGAUCUAUUUUGUGGGAAUUGGAAAUCCUGAAGCUCACAUUCUUUCUUCUAAUCAUGGUAUUUGCAAAAUAAUGCUUGAAUUUAUUAGUCUUUUAAUCCGAGCUGGACUUACUAUUAGCUUAAGCUUAAUUUUGAGGCCAAGUGGUUAGUUAACAUGGUGUCAAAGCUUUAGUUGGUGAAGUCAUUAUUUCAAAUUCCCUUUACGUUGGUUGCUUAUUUAUUUCACCUACUUGGAGCUUGACUCAUUUUUUGUUAUUGUCUUGUCUUGUUUAUUCCUCCAAGUUCAUUGUUUGGGCUA